CACGUAGGGCGCAAGCGUUGUCCGGAAUCAUUGGGCGUAAAGAGCGUGUAGGCGGCUUGUUAAGUCUUGCGUGAAAUCUCGGGGCUCAACCCCGAGCGGUCGUGAGAAACUGGCAGGCUAGAGUGCGGGAGAGGAGAGUGGAAUUCCUGGUGUAGCGGUGAAAUGCGCAGAUAUCAGGAAGAACACCCGUGGCGAAGGCGGCUCUCUGGAACGCAACUGACGCUGAGACGCGAAAGCGUGGGGAGCAAACAGG
rnacentral:rRNA from 1 species